AGGACGUGAAGCUGACCAUGAGUUCAGAUAAAAUUAUUCAAUCCAGAAUGUUUUCCUUUCCGUUUGCUGUUGCCUGAAAGUACAAUGUCUCUGAUGUUGAGAGAUUUAAAAUGUAACUCUUAAAACUGUCAUAACGGUCUUUGAGUAGUUCCUUUAGUUUCAGCUUUAUAUACCGCAAUAUUGUACUCUUUCUAGUACGACUUAAUAAAAUUUUGUUCCUUCUCUAAACCUCU
rnacentral:lncRNA from 1 species